UGCCCUAGUAACGGCGAGUGAAGCGGCAACAGCUCAAAUUUGAAAGCUGGCCUUCGGGUCCGCAUUGUAAUUUGUAGAGGAUGCUUUGGGUGAAACGCCAGUCUAAGUUCCUUGGAACAGGACGUCAUAGAGGGUGAGAAUCCCGUAUGUGACUGGAAAUGUUAACCUAUGUAAAGCUCCUUCGACGAGUCGAGUUGUUUGGGAAUGCAGCUCUAAAUGGGAGGUAAAUUUCUUCUAAAGCUAAAUAUUGGCGAGAGACCGAUAGCGCACAAGUAGAGUGAUCGAAAGAUGAAAAGCACUUUGGAAAGAGAGUUAAAAAGCACGUGAAAUUGUUGAAAGGGAAGCGCUUGCAAUCAGACUUGUUUAAACUGUUCGGCCGGUCUUCUGACCGGUUUACUCAGUUUGGACAGGCCAGCAUCAGUUUCGGCGGCCGGAUAAAGGCUCUGGGAAUGUGGCCUUCACUUCGGUGAAGGUGUUAUAGCCCAGGGUGUAAUACGGCCAGCCGGGACUGAGGUCCGCGCUUCGGCUAGGAUGCUGGCGUAAUGGUUGUAAGCGACCCGUCUUGAAACACGGACCAAGGAGUCUAACAUCUAUGCGAGUGUUCGGGUGUCAAACCCCUGCGCGUAAUGAAAGUGAACGGAGGUGGGAACCGCAAGGUGCACCAUCGACCGAUCCUGAUGUCUUCGGAUGGAUUUGAGUAAGAGCAUAGCUGUUGGGACCCGAAAGAUGGUGAACUAUGCCUGAAUAGGGUGAAGCCAGAGGAAACUCUGGUGGAGGCUCGCAGCGGUUCUGACGUGCAAAUCGAUCGUCAAAUUUGGGUAUAGGGGCGAAAGAC
rnacentral:rRNA from 1 species